AUAAGUAUUAAAUAGUAAAAACUAGCAUUAAAAAUAUCUAGCAUAUCUAGACACAUGUUAUAUGUUAUAGUUAAAUGUUUAAAAAUUAGUUUAUUUCAUGCCUUAUUUAUCUUUAAGAAACGUUAUAGCCUGAUCGCUACAGUGAGCUAUGAUCAUGCCACUGCACUUCAGCCUGGGCAACAGACUGAGAUCCUGUCUCUAUUUAAAAAAAAGUCAUCCAAGCUCUGGUAUUACUUACACUUAAAAAU
rnacentral:lncRNA from 1 species